rnacentral:rRNA from 1 species
UAAGUUAGAUGUUAAAUCUGUGGGCUCAACUCACAGGCUGCAUCUAAUACUGUAUAGCUCGAGAAUGGAAGAGGCAGACGGAAUUUCUAGUGGAGCGGUUAAAUGCGUAGAUAUUAGAAGGAACACCAAUGGCGAAGGCAGUCUGCUGGGCCAUUUCUGACGCUAAGGCACGAAAGCGUGGGAGCGAUCGGGAUUAGAUACCCCGGUAGUCCACGCCGUAAACGAUGGAUACUA